rnacentral:pre_miRNA from 1 species
CACAUCUUGUUUGCAGAUAAGAAAGGAAGCUAACGCAGUAUCUGCAAAGCCAGGAGUCUGACUCAGUACUUUUCUCACUCAUGCAUACAAAGCAGCUAAAAAUGACACAGCUUAUUUACCAUGCCCCUGACACUGCACUGAGCACUUUAUGAGCUUGAACUCUGUUAAUCCUCACGACCACCUCAUGAGGUAGGUGCUGUUAUUACUUCCAUUUUACAGAUGGGGAAAAUUGAGGUCGAGAGAGGUUACGUUACUUGCUCAACGUCAUGCAAGCAGUAAAUGGGAGUGUGGGGGGAGGCAAUGAGAUUUGACUCCAAGCAGUCUGAGACCAGAGGAAUGUU